rnacentral:rRNA from 1 species
CGGUAAUACGUAGGUGGCAAGCGUUGUCCGGAAUUAUUGGGCGUAAAGGGCUCGCAGGCGGUUUCUUAAGUCUGAUGUGAAAGCCCCCGGCUCAACCGGGGAGGGUCAUUGGAAACUGGGAAACUUGAGUGCAGAAGAGGAGAGUGGAAUUCCACGUGUAGCGGUGAAAUGCGUAGAGAUGUGGAGGAACACCAGUGGCGAAGGCGACUCUCUGGUCUGUAACUGACGCUGAGGAGCGAAA